GUGGAUUAGAUACCCUGGUAGUCCACGCCCUAAACGAUGAACACUCGCUGUUGGCGAUACACAGUCAGCGGCUAAGCGAAAGCGUUAAGUGUUCCACCUGGGGAGUACGCCCGCAAGGGUGAAACUCAAAGGAAUUGACGGGGGCCCGCACAAGCGGAGGAGCAUGUGGUUUAAUUCGAUGAUACGCGAGGAGCCUUACCCGGGCUUGAAAGUUAGUGAAUGAUCUAGAGAUAGAUCAGUGAGCAAUCACACGAAACUAGGUGCUGCAUGGCCGUCGACAGCU
rnacentral:rRNA from 1 species